CCCUUAGAUGUUCUGGGCUGCACGCGCGCUACACUGAUGCGAUCAACAAGUUUUUCCUAUGUCGAUAGACACGGGUAAACUUUUGAACUCGCAUCGUGAUGGGGAUAGAUUAUUGUAAUUAUUAAUCUUCAACGAGGAAUUCCUAGUAGGUGCAAAUCAUCAGUUUGCAUCGAUUACGUCCCUGCCCUUUGUACACACCGCCCGUCGCUGCUACCGAUUGGUUGAUCUGGUGAAUUAUUCGGACUGCCGGCUGAAGGGGUUUCCUCAUCUGCCAGCGGAAAGUCUUGUUAACCCUAUCAACUAGAGGAAGCAGAAGUCGUAACA
rnacentral:rRNA from 1 species